rnacentral:misc_RNA from 1 species
GAUGAAGAACGUAGCGAAAUGCGAUAAGUAAUGUGAAUUGCAGAAUUCAGUGAAUCAUCGAAUCUUUGACCGCACAUUGCGCCCCUUGGUAUUCCGAGGGGCAUGCCUGUUCGAGCGUCAUUAUAACCCCUCAAGCUCAGCUUGGUGUUGGGGCCUGCUGCACUGGCAGCCCUUAAAAUCAGUGGCGGCGCCAUCUGGCUCUAAGCGUAGUAAUUCUUCUCGCUAUGGAGUCCUGGUGGAUGCUUGCCAUCAACCCCCAAUUUUUCUAUGGUUGACCUCGGAUCAGGUAGGGAUACCCGCUGAACUUAAGCAUAUCAAUAAGCGGAGGA